AAUAAGUGUAGUUUUGCACUGUUUAUAUUUAAUAUUUGACCGUCCGACUUAUUUGAAAAAAUUCUAUGAUUAAUAUUUUUUUUUGUUGUUAUUAGAUGAUAAAACAUGAAUAGUACUUUAUGUGUGAUUAUUUUUUUUAAUUUUUUUUUAUAAAUUUUUUAAAUAAGAUAGAUGAACAAACGUUGAGACAUGGGUAUCCACGGCUACGUUUAUU
rnacentral:pre_miRNA from 1 species